AGACCUUAGAUGGGCUGCAGAGCACUCAGGCACAGGAUCCUUUCCUCAUUGCCCUGAGCUACUGCAGAUUUCCAAGUAGCUCAUUGCAGAUCCAGGGAGCAUUCACGCUGCGGGUUCUUCGUGCUGUGCAGAACAGCCAACUGACCUCCACCUUCCCUGUCUGUGAGAAAAUCAAGGAUACUGCUCCCCCUCUUCAGCAACCAGUCUUGAAGAUGGACUUCAGCCUGAUGCAGGGCAUGUUUGGGAGCAGCAGCAGAGUAUGAAGAUGGUACGAGACUACAAAAGAUUUUGCAGGAAACUGUCUUGGCUUUAGGAUUGUUCAUGAGUGAUUUACAAUGUGUUCCAAAAGGCAGUCUUCAAAACACAGAAGUAAAGAAAUUGCACAGAAAGUUCUGUCUUCAGAUCUGCUCAGCCAAGGGAAGUGGCUUUCUGGCCACUGCACUUCUCCCUGGACCAGCCUCAAAGACUCCCAGUCUUUCAUCACUUCCAACUUUAAUGUUCCCAUAUUUUUCUUUCUUCUAUUAUGUCAUCUGGAGGUAGCUAGAGAAGAGUAAAAUUAUUCCAUUCCUUGUAUCCCUUUUUGACCUAAAUCCUAAGUGGAUGAUGAGAAGAGCAAAAGUAUUUAAAACAACAGUUUUGACAGUCCUUGAAGAUCUCUUACAGGCACUCUUGAGACGAGAAGACAAAGCCUAGAAACUUAAGCAAGAAAAGAAGAAUUUUCCACAGAUUAUUUCCAUUUUGAAAAAUUUACAUGACAAUGUAAUUUGAAUUCCUUGCUUACACAUUCAGUUCUGAAGAGGACUCUGAAAUUUGCAGUUUUUAAUCUCCUUCUCAAGAAGCAAUGAUUUUUGACAAUGAUUGUGUACUUCAGAACCUUUAACUGUGGUACUUCCUGAGCAAAGAAUCACCUUGGAAGGGUGACAACUUGAAUUUGAAAGAAAUGAGCAAAUGGGGGUUUUAUAGCAAACAUGGUAUUCUUCUUCACUUGUAUACAUUUCCUCAGUUGGGGUUGAGGGGGUUCUGUAGCAGGGGUUGAAAUGAGAAAGAAAAGUGGUAAGAGUCACUAUAUUUCUGACUGCAUUAAAGUUUUCUGUAUAAUGUCAGCUUCCCAGGGAACAUUAAGCAGCAUUUUUGUCCAGGCAGAAUAUAUUUGCUCAAUCAUUUCUCUGUAGCUGAAGCAACAGUUUGGAGAUGGGGUUACCCUGGUGGCUGAAGUACAGAGCACUAACAACAGAAGUUAUUUUUGCAGGACACUUCAGAGUGUUAAAAAUCUGAUGAACCCAAAGACUUGGAAUGAGUCUAAAACACUGAAAAAUUAUUAGAAAGAUUAAUGCAUUAUUUCAUCUGUAUCUAUAACAUCUGCAGAGUUCUGUGAGAUUUGAAAAAAUGCUGUAAUUUGAGACUACACUUUAGUGAAAUUCAUGAGAUAAAACAUUCAGUUUUACCUAUUUCUCGUAAUAUUCACUUCAAAUACAAUUUAAAAUGAAAAGAAAUAUGGGAGAAGUGAAAAAGAAGGAAAAUAACACCUCCUAUUACAAAAAAUAUUAGGAGCUAAUUUAAAAAAGCAUUUUCAAAGUUUUACUGGAAUGUAAAUCAUUUUUAAAGCUCACUGCAAGGUGAGGGUAAAGAUUUGUUCAUUGUCAUUAACGCACCUGAAUAAGAUCUUUUGACAAAACAUUUCUACUUGGAAAAUGGUUAAUCAAUAAUCCUGAAAGAGUUGCUUGAAAGGCUUAGACUAAUACUAUUUCAUAAUGUAAAUAAGACAAAUAUGAAAUAAAAAUAAAUUAAAAGCUGUCAGAAAAUGUUCAGAAUGAAGAAUACAGGAAGGCACCUCCCAAUAUGUAAAAACAUUUAAUUUAAAAAUAUAAGAGAACUACAUUAAAAACAAUUAAUCAAUGAAGAUUUUAAAUUUUUUAUCUACAGAAGUUUAUCUAUUUAUUAUAUAAGACUUUUUUUCUGAAAAAUUAUAUUUGAUUUAUGAGAUACAAAUGCUUUAAUUAACAGCAAUUCAAUUUAGUAGUGGAAAUACACAUUUUAUAUGUAUUUAUCAAAUGGCUUUGAUAAAACUGUGUAGUGCCACAUAUUACAUUUACCUUGCUUGUUCUUUAACUUUCAAGUUUGGGCUUAAAUAAGUGGGGCUAAAUUCUUGGGAAAUAGCUGAAAAAGUAGGGCAGAGGGAUUUGAGAAGUGGUGAAAGGAAGACCAGUUUUAGAGAUUAUCUAACUUAAAGGAAGAACUGUUGAAAGAAGACAGAGAGUCAGUCCCUCAUGUGUAGAUAACAUUUGGUUGAUAAGACUCCAAUUAGCCGUAAACCACUUUUUCAUUUAAAAUGAAAGGAUGUUUUUAAACAUUCAUCAUGUUUGUUCUGGAUGGCAGUGAAAUAUAUUGGUUACCAAGGAAUGUGAGUUUUAUUUCAAUGUGAACCUGACGUUAUAUUUUUAAUUUCUGGAACAUAGGUAUAUAAAAUAAGCAACAAAAUACAUUGUAAAUGACAGUUUGAUACAGAUUUGUAUUUUGUGUGUAAGGAAUUUGAUAGCUGUGAGCUUCUAAGAGUUUUGGUUUUUUUGAAAUAAAAGCCUAAAGGAUGUUUUCAGCAGCAUGGCUGGUUUAUGUCAAAGAAACCCCCAUGACUUUUUCUUUAGAUUUAGACUUUUAAUUGCACAGAUGUGAAUUUUGAUGCAAGUUAGUUUCUUUUUAAACUGAUGUCAACAAGAUGCAUUUCAGUGACCAGCAGGUUUUUUCAAUAAAAAAUAAUUAGGUUUGA